rnacentral:rRNA from 1 species
UACGUAGGGUCCAAGCGUUAAUCGGAAUUACUGGGCGUAAAGCGUGAGUAGGCGGUUUCGCAAGUCCGAUGUGAAAUCCCCGGGCUUAACCUGGGAACUGCGUUGGAAACUACGAGACUAGAGUGCGGCAGAGGGGGGUGGAAUUCCAGGUGUAGCAGUGAAAUGCGUAGAGAUGCGGAGGAACACCGAUGGCGAAGGCAGCCCCCUGGGCCAACACUGACGCUCAGGCACGAAAGCGUGGGGAGCAAACAGG